UCUUUGGAGAUGAGGGUGGUCGCCGAUCCUGAACGAGCGCCCAAAUGAAAGACCCCAAGAGCGCGAAGACCCUCACUCACGUCUUGGGAUGACAUGACCAUCCAAGAACUCAUGAGAGACU
rnacentral:pre_miRNA from 14 species